rnacentral:rRNA from 1 species
UGUCGCUGGCUUUUUCCUGGAGCAUGUGCACGUCUUGUAAUCUCCUUUUCGUCGACCUUUCUCUUUCACACCUGUGCACCCAUUGUAGGGAACGGUCCCCUUGAAAGAGGGGAUAAACCUAUGUUUUUCCACACGUCACACCUAUUGUAUGUUCAUAGAAGGUCUUAUUUUUCAACAUCGACCAGCUUGUCUGGCGAUGGCGAAACAAAAAUCAUACAACUUUCAGCAACGGAUCUCUUGGCUCUCGCAUCGAUGAAGAACGCAGCGAAUUGCGAUAAGUAAUGUGAAUUGCAGAUUUUCAGUGAAUCAUCGAAUCUUUGAACGCACCUUGCGCUCCUUGGUAUUCCGAGGAGCAUGCCUGUUUGAGUGUCAUUGAAUUCUCAACCAUGCCUUUGAUUUAUUUCAAGGGUUCCCAUGGCUUUGGAUGGCUGGGGGUUGCUGGCAGCGAAGAGCUUGUCGGCUCUCCUUAAAUGCAUUAGCAAAGGUGAAACCUGUCAGUGGACAUGCAUGGCCUUUCGACGUGAUAAUGAUCGUCGUGGCUGGAGUGUUCAUGGGGUUUGAGUCUGUGCUUCUAAUACACAUAGGCUAGCUUAGCUACUAGUUGGCUUCCAUUUUGGAGGCCUUGAAGAACGCAGGCUGGUCUGCUUCUGAC